AUGGCAAUUUGGUUCGCAGAGUGGAUUAAGAAUUUAGAAAAGGUUAGUAGAGCUGAUUUUAUACGGAGUCAAUCUAUCAUUGAACAAAUUUUCAUUUCCUUCAAGGUUCGGAACUCGAAGGUAGAAAAAAGGUGCAAGCGAUGUCCCGCAGAUAGCGAAAUAGAAGUGAUUCGAUUAGACCUUAUGUGUUUCUCAAAAAGUGAGGAUUCCUCCUCACUUCCUUAAAGGAUCUGAAUCCCACUUACAUCAGAUUGAACCAUGCCAUGCUACGGAAUUGUACCUGAUUCAGGCGAAUAGGAGCGUUCCCGAAAAGUCUGCGAUACAGAACUCCCGGCGGGGAGAUGUUAUUGGGAAACGUCACGCAUCCAAAGACAACAACAUGUAGGCCCUAGAUGGAACAGCUGCUCCGGUGUGAAAUGUAUUCAUUAAAUUCAAUAACUAUCCAGUACGCCGGGGAAAUCAAGGAUGGCCAUCGUAAGAAUCGGUUACUUCGGAGUGCUAUUGUUGAGGAAGGUGUUUACAGAUGUAGUACAGAGUGGUACAGAUACUGGCCUUAAUGAGAAAAGCAAAUAAGAUUGUGCUGACUCCUACAACGGCCGUUGCACCCGUUUGAGAAAUGGAAUCCGACAUGUGACCGGAGAGCGAUGAUCGCUUCAACUUCCGGAAGAGGCUUACGUAUGUGCCAUAUCCGUUAGAGUGUCUCAUCGUAAAGAUGGAGGAGGAUAAGGGUGGUGGA